GAUGAACGCUGGCGGCGUGCCUAACACAUGCAAGUCGAACGGAGUCCAGCCUUAAAGACCUUCGGGUCAAAGAGGGGAAGACUGAGUGGCGGACGGGUGAGUAACACGUGGGCAACCUGGCUCAUAGAGGGGGAUAACAGAGAGAAAUUUCUGCUAAUACCGCAUAAGCACACACUGCCGCAUGGCAGAGGGUGAAAAGAGAAUCGCUAUGAGAUGGACCCGCGUCUGAUUAGCCAGUUGGCAGGGUAAGAGCCUACCAAAGCGACGAUCAGUAGCCGAUCUGAGAGGAUGAACGGCUACAUUGGGACUGAGACACGGCCCAAACUCCUACGGGAGGGAGCAGUGGGGGAUAUUGCACAAUGGGGGGAACCCUGAUGCAGCGACGCCGCGUGAGUGAAGAAGUAUUUCGGUAUGUAAAGCUCUAUCAGCAGGGAAGAUAAUGACAGUACCGGAAUAAGAAGCCCCGGCUAACUACGUG
rnacentral:rRNA from 1 species